CGCCCAGCAGCUAGCCCCACCAACCAAAAACAACACAACCCCCUCAAUAACCCCAAAUACACCAAAAUUUAUUAAACAAACCAUUUUUCCUCCCUAGUACAGGCGAUAGAAAAGGAACCGUUGGAGCAACAGAAAAAGUACCGCAAGGGAACGCUGAAAGAGAAAUGAAACAACCCAGUAAAGCACAAAAAAGCAGAGAUUUAACCUCGUACCUUUUGCAUCAUGAUUUAGCCAGUAACCCCAAGCGAAGAGCACUUUAGUUUGACCCCCCGAAACUAGGUGAGCUACUCCAAGACAGCCUAUUAAUAGGGCAAACCCGUCUCUGUGGCAAAAGAGUGGGAAGAGCUUCGAGUAGUGGUGACAGACCUACCGAGCCUAGUUAUAGCUGGUUGCCUGAGAAUUGGAUAGAAGUUCAGCCUCCCGGCUUCUUUCUUCACCCUCCGUCUUAACCCCCUUUUGACACCUAAAGAAACCGAGAGAGUUAAUCAAAGGGGGUACAGCCCCUUUGAUACAAGACACAACUUUUACAGGAGGAUAAAGAUCAUAAUCAAACCAAGGGAGACAUGUUCGAGUAGGCCUAAAAGCAGCCACCCCCUUAGAAAGCGUUAAAGCUCAGACAUACACUUACCCCUUCCUAUCCUGAUAACUCAAUCUUAAACCCCUAGACCUAUCAGGCCGUCCCAUGCAAACAUGGGAGCGACCAUGCUAAUAUGAGUAAUAAGAGAGCCCUGCCUCUCUCCCAGCACACAUGUAAAUCGGAACGGACACCCCGCCGAGUAUUAACGGCCCCAAACAAAGAGGGAACUGAACGACAGACCAAACAACCAGAAAACCAUCCAACUAGAAUAACCGUUAACCCUACACUGGUGUGCACCCCUGGAAAGACUAAAAGAAAGAGAAGGAACUCGGCAAACACAUGAAGCCUCGCCUGUUUACCAAAAACAUCGCCUCUUGCAAAACUAAUGAAUAAGAGGUCCCGCCUGCCCUGUGACUAUAAGUUUAACGGCCGCGGUAUUUUGACCGUGCGAAGGUAGCGCAAUCACUUGUCUUUUAAAUGGAGACCUGUAUGAAUGGCAUGACGAGGGCUUAGCUGUCUCCUUUUUCGAGUCAAUGAAAUUGAUCUCCCCGUGCAGAAGCGGGGAUUUACACAUAAGACGAGAAGACCCUAUGGAGCUUUAGACACCAAAGCAGAUCAUGUCAAACACCCCUAAACAAAGGGCCAAACUAAAUGAACCCUGCCCUAAUGUCUUUGGUUGGGGCGACCGCGGGGAAACACAAAACCCCCACGUGGAAUGAGAGCACUUCCUCUUACAGCCGAGAGUUCCCACUCUAGCAAACAGAAAUUCUGACCAUUAAGAUCCGGCAAAGCCGAUCAACGGACCGAGUUACCCUAGGGAUAACAGCGCAAUCCCCUUUUAGAGCCCAUAUCGACAAGGGGGUUUACGACCUCGAUGUUGGAUCAGGACAUCCUAAUGGUGCAGCCGCUAUUAAGGGUUCGUUUGUUCAACGAUUAAAGUCCUACGUGAUCUGAGUUCAGACCGGAGCAAUCCAGGUCAGUUUCUAUCUAUGACACGAUCUUUUCUAGUACGAAAGGACCGAAAAGAAGAGGCCCAUGCCUUAGGUAUGCCUCACCCCCACCUAAUGAAGACAGAUAAAAUAGGCAAAAGGGCGUACCCCCGUGCCUGAGAGAACGGCAU
rnacentral:rRNA from 1 species